rnacentral:tRNA from 1 species
GCAUUAAUGGGUAGUGGUAACCUGGGUCGUUGCCAUACUGUAUAACUUCGACCCGCCGGGGGUUCGAUUCCCCCUUAAUGCA